ACCUACUCCUCGGAUGUAUAUCCGAGCUGAUGAGUCCAAAAGGACGAAAGUGGGU
rnacentral:hammerhead_ribozyme from 1 species